AGCCCCGCGGUAGCGCACAUCAAGAUGCAAACUUGGAGAAGCACCCUAAAGGUGCCGGGGCUUC
rnacentral:tRNA from 1 species